rnacentral:lncRNA from 1 species
CUUGUAUUCAUGUUUUUAGGCACUCUGGAAAUUGAUCUAGAGAUCCUUAAUAUGCGCUUGUUUUCAAUAUCAGUAUGAUUUCAACAAUCCCCAUGAUAUAUUCUCUUUUGCUUCACCUCAACUUCCGGUUCACAUAUGAAGUUCAUUCAAAAUCUUUCCACUUCAUAUGAUCACUUGUUGUUUUUUUAUUGAGCAGUACUAUGCAUACUUCUGCUAUCUGGAGAAUUGACAAGUCAUCUUCUUUUGUCACAGGUUUUGCAAGAAGUUUUGAGACGCUACUCUGUUCCAGAAAGUUUGUUUGGCAGGGUUUGCAUAAUUAUAGACAAGGUUAGCUUUAUGAUUCAACAUUGAAUAUGUUUUCUCCUCAUCUUCCUGAGGCAAGGUCUGUCACAUUAUCAUAAAUUUGGACUCGACUAGCCAAAGAGUUGAGGGGGGGAAAUAAAAGAAACCGACAUGGUGAUCUCAAAUUACUUCUCUUCCUAUAUUCUAUCCUAUUUUCUUUAUCAGAUCCGGUGUCGUGAACGUAACAUGCCAUCAUUAGAUAUGUUUUUCCCGCAUUCACAAAGGCAAAACUUGAAAAAGGCACAGAGCUUUAUGACCGUUGUUGGUAUGAGAGUUCCCUGUGUAUCAAAUUGAAAGUCGGUUUUCCUUUUCAAUGCUUGGAGAAACUUAAAAGCCAUCUAUGAAUUCCGCUCGAUGGAAAAAUGAGUUACCAUAGGAUAGUUCAGGAAAGACUUCUCUGGCAGCAUUUCAUAUGAGUGGAAGUUAAUUUAUUAAUGCCUAUUCAUUACUGUAAUUCCUCUCUCUCUCUCUCUUUUAUUGGGGGAUUUUGGUGCUUGGGUGAUUUGAAAUAUACAUUAUCUGAGGGGGCAGCAUGCACUGUAAUUUACUUCAUAAAUACGCAGAAGGAUAUGGAGACCUUUGUCCCAGGAAUUGUAACCCUUUUAUAUUUCUCGUCAUCUUUUCAACGGGGUAGCAAUGAUAUAUGUCAAUGGGAUUCAGCAAAGGCGUGAUGAGUCAAAUUUACUGUAAGCUAUAUAAAUGUAUCAGUUAUUGAUCUGUUUUAAGUUGUACAGCUUUAUUGAUUUACCAUUAGUACGCUCAAUUUGAGAAACUGAAUAUGGGUGCUUUGCUGUUCAUGCCUCUCUCACAGACGCGUUGUAAAGUUUUUCUAAUUGUUUUGUAUAGUUUGCAUUACUGUUCUGCUAUUUUUUAUUUAAUCAUUUCUCUCCUUUUUUUCCCAACAGAUGGAAAAGAUUCCAAUAGAUGAAAUCAAGAAAGAAUUGAAGUCUGCUGAGUUAUCAGAGGAGGCUAUUGAUGAGCUUUUGGAAAUUCUUUCUAUGAAGUCUUUGGCGAUGUUGGAAGGUUGGUCUUACUGUUUCUCAAGUUAUAACUUCAUUUUCAUCAUUUUUCUUUUCAGUUUUGGAAGUUUGGGACCGUGGAAUCAAUUUUGCCUAUCUUUUUCCUUAAUUUUCUGUGUCUAUUUCUGUCUCUGGCAUGUGAAUUAGGAUCUCGCAUGCAAAGUCAACACCACUAAUAGGGCCGGGCCACCAGGCUAGUGCCAGAAUUUGUCUUAACUAUUUUAGAAUUAAGCAACAUGCUCCUUAAAUGAAAAUUUGGAGACCUUAAGACUAGAAAAAUUGAUUGGGGAAUGCAACUGCAAAUUGUCAUAAUGUUAAAUUGCUUCAUAUUCUUCUGUCAUGUGUUUAAUAGUUACUUGAGGCCAGUUGAGAAAAGGUUAUGUCAGCAAGAGUGUUAAUUUUGAAUCAAUUAUUAUUUAUUAUCUUGUUAUAUUAACAAUUGUGGUGCGUUUUGCUUUUGUUGUAGAGAAACUUGGGGAUUCCGUGGAAGCACUUGCUGACUUAAAGCAACUAUUUUUGCUUGCUGAAAAGUAUGGUUACUCUGAGUGGAUUCAGUUUGAUGCAUCCAUUGUCCGUGGCCUUGCUUAUUAUACUGGAAUCGUAUUUGAGGUAAAAUUUAUAAAGCAUUUUUCCCCAUUUUCUUUCUGAACCUUAAGGGUCCCAUGUCGUCGGCUGGUUUCUUAAUUGUGUGAUUCAAAUAUAAUUGUGUAAUCAAUUAGUCAGCAAGAUUCAUAAAAUCUCUUUUUCGUUUAUUGUCGCUGUUGAUGACCUGAUACAGAAAGUGUACAAACUACAAUUAGAGCAGUUCCAAUGCUCAUGGAUUGCAAUCUAGGUGAUAUCUAAAUAGAAAGUCUUCCAGUCUAUUUGGCAUUAAUGUCUAAUGAAUAGACGGCCUAGUCAUCUAUUAUGUAUAUAUUUAAUAGGGUAGAGAGAGAAUAAUAAAAAGGAUGGAAAAUAUAAGAUGAGAUUUGUUGGGGCGGGGGGGCGGGGGGGAGGGGGGAUUGAAUUAUGGUGACUUACUCUAUCUCUACUUUUCUCUUGCUACGUCAACUAGACAUAGUCAGAGACAUGCUGUAUUAGAGAGGAACUUCUAUAUACAUUUACUUUCUGUAGAAAAGAAAAGAACCAUGCCCUACCUAACCAGAACUGGUCGGUCCUGAUCUGGUUCAGUUCCAUCGCUAGCCAUAGAACUGUUUGGUUCCCGAUUUGGUCUGGUACCAGUCACCAGACUAUGCGCACUCCUAGCCUACACUUAUGAAUUAACUAAGAAAUUGGAUAAUAAAUUUAUCAGGAUAGCAUUUUCACUCAACCUGUUUCUGGCUGGCUACAAUCAUUCUCAUAUGAGUAGGUUAUUCUCUAUCUCAUUAUCUUAUUGUAUUUCCUUCUUCAGGGAUUUGAUCGAGAAGGAAAACUACGAGCCAUUUGUGGAGGUGGGCGAUAUGACAGGUUACUUUCGACUUUUGGAGGCGAUGAUAUUCCAGCCUGUGGCUUUGGAUUUGGUGAUGCAGUUAUAGUAGAAGUGAGUCGAGUUUCUCUUAAAUUUUUGGCUUGGGUGUUUGCUUAAAAGUUCUUCCUUUUUCUUUUCUUUUUUUUUUUUAAAUUGAAAAAUAAGGAGUGAUUACUUUUACGUACUGAACAUGGUGAAUGCUGAAAUUUUUUCUGCCAAACUGUUUGGUUAGGCACUAAAUUUUAUCAAAUAUUUGAUGAUAAAAUUGAAUGAGUUGGAAGUGAGCCAAAUCGGGAAAUAUAUACAUAAUUUACUUGCUUAUAUUUUUUAUCAAUUGUGAAUAAUGUAUAUUAUGUAAACAGUUGUCAAUCAUUUGGAGUUGAUAGAAUAAAUUAUAUUUUUUCCUAAAACUAAUUUGAGUUACUGAUCUACUCAGCUUGCUCUAUGCAGUAACAUUUUAUAUGUUCUCGUGAAUUUGAUAAUGUAUCACAUAAACAAUAAAUGUGUAUAUUGAUCCACACUGUUACUGCUACUCUAUGGAACGUUGCUUUAAUUCCAUCUGCCAAAAGCAAUAUUUUCAGAAUGCCAACCUAAGUGAAUGGAAGUGAUUUAACUGUGAUGAACUCCAGGAUCAUCAUAGUAUAUAAAUUCGAAUAUAACUGCUCCAACCAUGUUAGACAGUAAAUAUUCUUGUUCAAUUGUUUUUGCUACUUUACUCUGUUCGGUGAUUAUGCAGCUUCUCAAAGAGAGAGGACUUCUACCGGAACUUGGUCCCCAGGUAGAGAACAUUGUCUGCUCAUUGGAUCAGGAUCUCCAGGGUGCAGCUUCUGCAGUUGCUGCUAAACUCAGGGGAAAAGGACAAAGUGUUGACUUGGUUCUGGAAAAUAAACCCCUCAAAUGGUAUGAGAUUUGAGAUUUCAUGAUACCCGUAGAAAAGUUAAUUUUUUUAAAAAGUCACAAUAUCUUGUGUUCCGUAUCCUUUGUUUCUUGUACCAUACCAAAAUAUGAACAUUCACCACUUUUUUUUAACGGUUUAUAAUCUUCAGGGUGUUUAAAAGGGCAGCACGAAUAAAUGCUUGCAGGCUGAUAUUAGUGGGUAGCGCGGAGUGGCAAAAGGGCAUGGUUCGAGUCAAAAUUCUUUCGUCGGGCGAGCAAUAUGAGAUUAAAGUUAAUGAGCUAGAAUAGCAAGGUUAAAUUAUUAUGCACAUGCAUGUACCUUUUACAUUUAUCUUGGCAUAUAAGACCAAUUCCAUUUUUAUUAUUGGUUUCUAAAUUUUCAAUUUUUCAGAUCUUAUUGUAGCAUACGGGGAACUUCAUAUCUGUAACAACAUACCAUCUAGAAUUUGAAUAAAAAUUAAGUGUAUUGUUUGGUUCUGAGUUUAUCUUUUGGUUGAUUAAGUGGAGAGUAAUGUGAUAGUUUUAUUAUGCUGGAAA